UACGGGGGGAGCAAGCGUUGUUCGGAUUUACUGGGCGUAAAGGGCGCGUAGGCGGCGUGACUAGUCACUUGUGAAAUCUCCGGGCUUAACUCGGAACGGUCAAGUGAUACUGUCGUGCUAGAGUACAGAAGGGGCUACUGGAAUUCUCGGUGUAGCGGUGAAAUGCGUAGAUAUCGAGAGGAACACCUGCGGCGAAGGCGGGUAGCUGGGCCGACACUGACGCUGAGGCGCGAAAGCCAGGGGAGCGAACGGG
rnacentral:rRNA from 1 species